rnacentral:lncRNA from 1 species
GCCAUGACAAGAACUCUGAAUCUAAGGUAAUUUUAAUCCAUUUUUCCUGUUGAUCAUCAUCCAUUUGUUUGUCUAAGUGAGACAAAGGAGAUGAGGUCUCAGGCCCUACCUCCUUGAGAAAAAGACAGCUGCAGUAUGAUAUGCAGAAUUUGGUAGAUUGCCUAUAUAAAGAAUAAUUUGACCUUGUCACACAUUUCUUGGAGCCAAGAUUCUAUUUUGGGGGGUUUGGCAGGUGACUGUCAGUUGAACUUGUCUAGUGUGAAGAGAUUCUGCUUUCUGGAAAGCCCACAUUUAAAUUCUUUCCUUUUUGCUUUGCCUUUUAAAGACAUGGACCACAGCUCUCAUCCAGAUCAUCUCAUUUAACCCAGUAGUGUAUCUUGGCAUGCAUAUUUCUGUCCCAUAAAGAUUCUGGUACUCUCCUAGUCACAAAGGGAUAAAACAAAAGAAUGUAUGAUUCUUAUAAAAUUCAGUCUCAUUACUUGGACAGCACCUUCAUAUUCAAAAGUGUAGUGAAAUGGAAUAAGGAUGAGCUUUGGAAUUCGAGAGGAGUGGAUCAAAAUUUUUCACCAUUGAUUAGUGAUAUCUUUUGAUAGCUACUUUAAUGCUCUGUCUCAAUUUUCUUAUGUGUAAAAUGGGUAUAAUAAUUAUAUCUACAGUUCUUUCAUGUGCAUGUAUAGCCACAUUAUGAUACAGAUAUUAUUUACCCAUUUUACACUUAAGAAAAUGUGAUUAGGCAUAUAUUGAGAUACAUAGCUAUAUUGAGAUGUGUAUAUAUCUAUGUAUGUAGCCACAUUAUGAGAUAGAUUCUAUUAUUAGAACAUGGGUGAUGUUCAGUAAACAUCUAUGAUUUUGAAAGAACAUUCCUUACCUCGACCAUGACAAAUAGGAUGUCCUUCACUGAAAUGGAUAAGCCUCUUAUUGAUUAAAACCAAAUAUCAAUAAUAUUUUCAAAAAGGUAUUCCUGUUUUUUCAUUCAAAUCCUAAAAAUACAACUGUGGAGAAUAGCCUUUUAUUCGGUUAUUUAGGGAAAACUUUAUUUUUUUUUAAAGAACAGAAAAAAGUGGGAAGUUUAAAACACAUUUAAAUAUUUCCAGAGUUUGAAUUUAUUUUUCUUUACACAUGAAUACCUGUUUUCUCAUAUUAAGCAUUUUUACUUACCUGCCUCACCUUUAUUUUGUAUAGCCACUUAUAGUAAUGAGGAAACUAAUCAGAUCAUUUUACAUUGGAAGUAGUAUGUUUAGAUCUUAAAUAGAAAUAUUACUGGUUUUAAUGCCACGUGGAUGUAUCUCCAUAUCUUGCUGGUGCAAACUUUUAUUCUUAACUUUCUAAUGUUUUUUUGUUUGCCAUUUUUUUGGUGAGAUUUUUUGGUCCAAAAGGCAGAAAAAAGAAAAACAAUCUGUAGAAAUGAUUUCCAUAGUGCCUUUUUCUUCUAAUAAACGUUUGGGCUUAUAAAAUUAAACUUUGUUGUAAAAACACUUUACAUUUGUCAAUGAUACUUUGAGGGAAGAUUUUGCUAUUUUGAAUAUGAUUUAGGAAGAUGUUCUUCUAUAAUCACAGUUACCAGUUUCCUGAAAAAUAUUAGGAAAGAAAGAAAGAAAACCCUGGAUGAAUAGAAACAGCUGUCUGAUUCAACAAAAGCUGAAACAAAAGCUUUAUUAAAAAAAAAUUCACUUGGCAUGUUAUACCCCUAGUAUUAGGAUACAUAAUGUUUGAAUUUCUUUCUUUGUACAUCUUUUGUGUACUUGAAAUAAUGCAUUUGCAUGUCAACGGAAGAAAGCAAAAUUAUAUUCUAAGGUUCAUGGAAAGAAAUUAAUGAUUGGCUCUUUAAUUAGGCCAACACCAUCUGAACCACUUUCUCUAUUUUCAUCCUCAACAUUAACUGAAACCUUCUCUUUGGUGAAAAUAAUGUUUGUUGUAUGAAGUUCUAAGUUAGUGUAAAUAUUACAUAAUAAUUGUAUAGGAAGAGGAUAUUAUAACACUUGGUCCUGUGGUCAUUCCUCUUUAUAGGAUCAACUCUAAACAUUAUGAAGUAAUGCAAAGGUUUUCUUUAGUGCUGCUACUCCUUUGUGCAAGAUGCUCUCAUGAAAUGGUGGUGGUUCUCACUCUGGUUACUAUUCACUCAUACCCUUCUAACUCAGUGAGUUAAUUUUUUCUCUCCCUCCUAAUAUUCAUAGAUAACAUACUUGUAUCUUCUUCCUUUAGGGCACAAUCUCAAAUAGUUAUACUGGCUAAGCAGCCAACAUAAAUAAAAUGUGUCACAUGGGGACUGUAAACAAAAGAAAAGUCUAUGCCCCAUCUAAUGGAGACAAUAGAUGAUUCCCACAGAGAAAUACUGACCCUAUAUUGAUUGAUCUAUCAGUCUGUCUUCUAGCUUCUCAUGAAAAGUUAGAUAUGUGGUUUUUUAAAAAUAUGAAAUCUCCUGGUUUUUCAGUGUUAGUGACCAAUUUUUAUAAAGGACAUUCUGGGUUACGUUGUAUGAGUUACAUAAAGCUCUUUCAUGGGCUACAUGUAACUUGAAAAGUAACCAGUUUGCACUUUGUUGUAGGAGCUUGCUUUGUGCUCUUUGUGAUAAUGGUUUAAUAAUAUAAAUAAACUCUUGUAAUUGUGAUUUUUUUAUUUCAUAUCUUCAUUACUUCUUCCUCUGUCCAUUCAAUUGCAUAUUUGAAAAUAAAUGACUUAAUAGACUUUGGUUACUGGUCUAGAUACUGGAAAUGCAGCCUAAUUUGUCCCCUUUCCCAAGGAUCUAAGAGUUUUUAUGAGAGAAGAUAAACAGUCACAAUGCAGCAUGAUAAAUGUCAUGAGAAAGAGAGUUACAUGUAUAAUGGUGACAUAGAAGAGAGAUACCCAACUUUCCCAGGUAAUACAAUCUUAACUUAAAUGACUAUAUCUCCUUCCAGCAGUUCUCUGAGAGGAGAUGGUAAUAGCAGAAUGUUUAGGAAACCUGCUAUGCUGGAGGGGGAGAGAUUUGUGGCUAGAUGGGCCUUUCAAUUCCUCCUAAAUAGAGCAUCUUUGUCAUUUGGCAAUUGAAAAAGAUGAUGCUUUCAUUUUACCCUUUGACAUCUAUUGAGUGUUAUUUCUAAAGUGAAAUGCUCAGAAGAGUCAAUAAACUGUUUCCUUUUUAUAUUGCUUUGACUAGGUGUCAGCAAUUCCAAUCGUAUCAGAUCAUUUAUUACUCUGAGAAAAUCCCUUGACAAACUCAGAGAUUAAUUUAUUGUUGGUGAGCUACUCAGGAGAUAUUUCUACUACUUCUCAUAAUAGAGUGAGAGGCUCACAGUUCAGGCCAGGUUUGUUAUUAUGGCUUUGUAUGAAAUAUAAGCAUCUAAGAGAAGGGAAUCAAAGUGAAAUCUUGACUUGGUUUCAAAUCAAACCCAAAUCUCCAUGCACUGUCAAAAUCUUGGGCUUUCUUUAUUGUAAGGGCAGUUCAUGCAGAGAAAAGAUAAGAGUGCCCGGUAAACAAGUAGCUUUUGGUUAGCAGAUAAAACUGUAAAAUGAAAGCACUCGACUGAUGGAUGGAAAAUGUUAUUUGUCUGACUUGAGUCGAUAUUAUAUUUCAUGGGAAGUGAGGUAAUACCUGACCUACAAGAUUUACUCAAAUGAGAACAGGCAAAUUUCCUGGAAGUGUCCAUUUGGCGAUGAGUUUAUAAACAUUUAAGGAAAAAAUUAGUACUAUGUGCUGAUUAGUAUUAUU